AAAGAGGAAGCUUUUACCUGAUGUAAUUUGAUUAUUCGUGCUACUUUUGAUUUUGAAGCCGUGUUUCCCAGGCAGAAACUCAAUCUGUGAUGGUGAUAUUCAUCUUCUGGCUUCUCUGUUGGCUCAGACAUAAAGAAUCUGCCUGCAAUGCAAGAGACCUGGGUUCAGUCCCUGGGUUGGGAAGAUCCUCUGGAGAAGGGAAUGGCCACCCACUCCAGUAUUAUUCUUGCCUGGAGAAUUCCAUGGACAGAGGAGCCUGGUGGGCUGUAGUCCAUGGGAUUGCAAAUAGUUGGACAUGACUGAACAAUUAACACUGGCGUGAAGUGGGAGUUCUCCUACCUUUGGUUAAAUGUUGUUUUUAAGAUUUGGUCAUUAGGUGUUUGACCGUGAUAUAUAUUCAGGAGAUUGCUCAAAUGUGCAUCAUGAAUAAACGUGGUGUGUGUG